ACUUCUUUUGCAGUAUGUGCUGGCUUUGAAUGACUCAGAGUCCUUCACCCUUUUUGUUCCAGGAAGCGUGCAUCACCUUCCCACCUCUCCCAUAAAUGAAGUGUGGUGGCAGAGUGUUUAAAGUAAGACCCAGAGGGCCUAAGUUGGAGGUUCCAGGCAGCUGAGGACUCCAGCUGAAGCUCUGGAGAUGACCUGGUGGCAUAUCCUCUCUGGCUGCUACGGCAUUUACUUGCUGUAUGAACAUGAGAAGGAAUAUUGAGGACAGCAUUCACAGCCACUCUCAUCCACUGAAAAAGAGCCAUCACUUCACACACCAGCUACCAAGCGGGAGGAAGAGGUGCUGUCGCUCUCCAGCUGCUCUCACCCUGCCUUUGGUACCAGCUUUGCUCCUUCCUGAGGCCUAACCUAAUCACGCUGAAGUUUUGGCAUGCCAGGACUCCAAGCCGCAUGACAAAACAGAAAAUUAGAUCCCCUCCACCACCACCAUGGUAUUAGCUGAAUAUCACAGGAGAUUCAUUAAAUUCUGGGCAGCCUGAUGCAGCCCAGCAUGGGAAUGAGGAACCUGGCCUCCUCUCACAUGGCCUCAAUGCAUGUGAGGGAGAGAAGGGAGAGCAGUGCUGAGGCUACAACUUCUGGCUAGCUGUUAUAACCCUCAUCAGAUGUCCCUUUGAGCCAUUUUUGAGCACCACAAGUUCAAAUCAAGAGCAAGUUCUUACA